AUUUAUAUAGUUUAAAAAAAAUAUUAUAUUUUCAAUAUAAAGAUAAAAAUUUUUUUAUAAAUA
rnacentral:tRNA from 1 species